GAUGAAGAACGUAGCGAAAUGCGAUAAGUAGUGUGAAUUGCAGAAUUCAGUGAAUCAUCGAAUCUUUGAAUGCACAUUGCGCCCCUUGGUAUUCCAUGGGGCAUGCCUGUUCGAGCGUCAUUUGUACCUUCAAGCUUUGCUUGGUGUUGGGUGUUUGUCCAUUCUCUUGCAGAGGGACUCGCCUUAAAGUAAUUGGCAGCCAGUGUUUGGUUUUGAAGCGCAGCACAAGUCGCGAUUCAACGCUAUACGCCAGCUUCCACAAGCCUUUUUCACUUUUGACCUCGGAUCAGGUAGGGAUACCCGCUGAACUUAAGCAUAUCAAUAAGCGGAGGA
rnacentral:misc_RNA from 1 species